GCCUCCGUGCCCGACCUCCAACCCUCUUGUAUCACAAAACCUCGUUGCCUCGGGGGUGGCCCCGCCUCGCGGCGGGCCCCCCGGAGGACCACUCAAACACUGCAUUUUAGUGUCGUCUGAGUUAGAUUUUAAAUGAAAUCAAAACUUUCAACAACGGAUCUCUUGGUUCUGGCAUCGAUGAAGAACGCAGCGAAAUGCGAUAAGUAAUGUGAAUUGCAGAAUUCAGUGAAUCAUCGAAUCUUUGAACGCAUAUUGCGCCCCUUGGUAUUCCUUGGGGCACACCUGUUCGAGCGUCAUUUCACCAAUCAAGCCUCGCUUGGUGUUGGGCGAUGCGCAUGUCGCACGCCUCAAAUGCCCCGGCCGAGCAGUCUCUCACCCGGCGUCGUGGAAACAUACCGCUACGGAGACGAGACCUGCCCGCGCCGCAGAAAACCUCAUCUAAAGGUUGACCUCGGAUCAGGUGGGGAUACCCGC
rnacentral:rRNA from 1 species